GCAUUCAUGUAACAAUCACCCCUGUUUACCACUCCACUGCUUUCAACCCAGUCACGUCUUAGUUUGAUAAUAAAUAUGAUGUUUUCAUUUGUGACACUUCAUUUCUGCUUUUUCUCCUUUAUCAUCUUCACUUUUCACCAUAUUCUUUUUGCUUCUCUCCAUUCGUUUCACCAUGUGGUUGUCCUUACUAUUUUGAUUAGCCAAAUAUUCUAUUUGGUGGCAGUGUCUAAUCUAUAUGCCCUAUGUGUUACAUUGCCUUUUGAAAUGAUUAGUAUGAUAUCUUCUGGUGAUGACCUGUUUCAUGAUAUCUUCUUAUGUAUUUAGCUAGAAAUUUUUGGCACGGUUUUCAUUCUCCAUAUUGCUGUGGGCUUGUACCAGCAUCUCUGGAUCUCUUCCCACAUCUGGUCUGGGCCAAGUGUGAUAAAAUGAGGAAUUAAAAAAAAAGAGCAGUAUGUAUUACAUGCUUGUAUUGAAGAUGUUUUAAAGGCUUAUAAACAAAGAAGCAUCGUGGAUUAAUCUGGGCAUGCAUGUCCCUGCUGUUUGGGGUCCAGAAUAAUUCCAAGUUUAUUUGGUGCUUGUUUGACCUUUAUUAAUGUCCUGUGAUUGCAUGACUGAUGCCCAUAAUUUUGAUUUCACUAGGGUGUCUAUAGAAAUGGACAUUUCAGAGGGGCAAAUAUGCAAUUCCAUGAAUACAUGGUAGUAUAUAUGCCUAAAAAGACCUUUAGCUGUUUUUUCAUGUGUUGCCUUUUUCACUAUUAUUUAGUCUUUUUAUCCUACCUCUCUCAUGACUUAUCCGAUAAUGUACUUUUUAUGCUCUUACUCUUAUUUUAAUUAGAUCGUGUUUAUAAUCUCCUUUGAUUUCUUUAAUAUGAUGAACAUACCACGGCUGUUAACUUUGUUCAUCAUACGAACUUGGAUAGGUAGAACACAAAAAGAAUUCAUCUAUUCCUAAUGACAAUGCAACCUCGUCGUAUAUGUUUCUGUAGUUUUGUAGGAAAUGUCUGUUGCUGAGGAUUUGUGAUUACAUAAGAGACUGUGGAUGAACUUCAGCAGCUAUAUUUCAUAAGAUAUCUUGUUUAUAAUUUUUCCUUUGUGGUUAUUUUGUUUUAUAUGAUGAGCACGACUAGAAACAUUGUAUUAGUUUGAGGUUAUAUUUUAUGAAAAGUAGUACAUUUGAACUCUGGAAAGUCAUCGAUUCCAAAUUAAGAAGCAUCUUUUUUCAUAUAUGGCUGCACAGAAUUAUAAGAAAUGGCCGAUGCUGAGGAUAUUCAACCUCUUGUGUGCGACAAUGGAACCGGAAUGGUCAAGGUCAGUCUAUAGCUGUUGCAUAUGAAUCUGUGUUUGCCUCAUAGACUACAAAAAUUCAUGCUUUUGUUUUAUGAAAAAGGCUGGAUUUGCUGGCGAUGAUGCACCAAGGGCAGUGUUUCCCAGUAUUGUAGGCCGACCUCGCCACACAGGUGUUAUGGUUGGGAUGGGCCAGAAAGAUGCUUAUGUUGGUGACGAAGCACAGUCCAAGAGAGGUAUCCUCACCUUGAAAUAUCCAAUUGAGCAUGGAAUUGUUAGCAACUGGGAUGACAUGGAAAAGAUCUGGCACCAUACGUUCUACAAUGAACUCCGUGUUGCUCCUGAGGAGCACCCUAUACUACUCACUGAAGCCCCUCUCAACCCAAAGGCAAACAGAGAGAAGAUGACCCAGAUUAUGUUUGAGACUUUUAAUGUGCCAGCUAUGUAUGUUGCCAUUCAGGCAGUCCUU
rnacentral:lncRNA from 1 species